rnacentral:lncRNA from 1 species
UUUUUUUUAUUUUUUUUGUUAAAACCUUUCUUUUGUGGGUGUAUUUCUGUUUUAAAAAAACCCAAAGUGCAUAGGGGGAGCCAGGCCAAGGCCCAGCUUCCCCCGUGACCUAGCCCGUUCUCCCCCUGCGUCCCGUGCCUCUCCCUCCUCGCGCCGCCUACCUCUUCCCUGCUCGCCCCACCAUGCUGGCAGUUGUUGGUUCUAGCGCCCCCUCCUGCCGCCGCCUCCUCC